AGAGGAGUGGCAGAGUGGUCGAAUGCACCGGUCUUGAAAACCGGCGUACCGCAAGGUACCGGGGGUUCGAAUCCCUCAGCCUCCGCAA
rnacentral:tRNA from 1 species